UGAAAAUCACAGUGAGAGCACGCAAGCGUCCAUAGGAAAGCAUUAUAAAUGCUUUCCUAUGCGACUGGCUGAAUGCGCGCGCAGCUCUUGCCACGCGUGCGCAUUCAGCCGACAGGGCGGAUCGGAGGAGGAGAGCUCCCCGCCCGGCGCUGGAAAAAGGUAAGUUUUAACCCUUUUCCAGAGCCGGGCGGGAGGGGGUCCCUGAGCCACAUAU